rnacentral:rRNA from 1 species
CCUACGUGUCGCAGCAGUGGGGAAUAUUGGACAAUGGGCGAAAGCCUGAUCCAGCCAUGCCGCGUGUGUGAAGAAGGCCUUCGGGUUGUAAAGCACUUUCAGUGGGGAAGAAAGCCUUGGGGCUAAUACCCUCGAGGAAGGACAUCACCCACAGAAAAAGCACCGGCUAACUCCGUGCCAGCAGCCGCGGUAAUACGGAGGGUGCGAGCGUUAAUCGGAAUUACUGGGCGUAAAGCGCGCGUAGGCGGUCUGAUAAGCCGGUUGUGAAAGCCCCGGGCUCAACCUGGGAACGGCAUCCGGAACUGUCAGGCUAGAGUGCAGGAGAGGAAGGUAGAAUUCCCGGUGUAGCGGUGAAAUGCGUAGAGAUCGGGAGGAAUACCAGUGGCGAAGGCGGCCUUCUGGACUGACACUGACGCUGAGGUGCGAAAGCGUGGGUAGCAAACAGGAUUAGAUACCCCAGUAGUC